rnacentral:misc_RNA from 1 species
GUGAAUCAUCGAAUUUUUGAACGCAAAUUGCACUCUCUUCGGAGAGUAUGCCUGUUUGAGGGUCAGCCUAAAAAAAAUCGACGUCGUCGCUGUUUCGCGGUGAUAUUCGUCGGAAAUUGGGUCAUCUUAAAACUUUGGGUUUUUUAAGUGGUUUAAAAUUUUCUUUAAGAUUCUAUGAACGUUUCUAAGAUUUUACUUCUUACACACGUUUAAGGUAUCGAAUUUUAUUAGACGUGGCCGUUGAAUCGGAUCGU